CCAAUAUCUAGUGUGGAGUAGGCCUUCAGAAAACUCAAAAUACAAGCACUGGAGGAGCAGCUAAGUAUAUUAAUUCGUCUUCAUCCAGUCUGCUGUGCAUUGAAAAUAGGGUUCAAUUUAUUAAAAUUCCAUUUUGAUUCAAGUUCUCGGGGACCCAAAUAACCUGCAGAUGUGAUAUGUUUUCAAACUAUUUUAUAGUUUCUUCUUUCCUUCUUUCAUUAACUAUGAAAACCAAACAUUUUUAAUUUUUGGAUCAAUAGAGAAGUUACAACUUAUUUUGGGGAAGUUGUUGCCUCCCUAACAUGUCAUUUUUAAUGGCUUAAGAUAGUACUCUCACUUGCAAUAUCCCUUACCUAAAAAACCGAAACAUUUAAUGGAGCACAGUAGUUUAAACACAGCUUAAAUGACACCUUAAUGAUUUCUUUAUGUCUUAAGGAUCCUUUCAGCUUCAAGUAACAGAAAUCCCAAUUCAGAUAAUACAGAAAUGUGUAAUCUCACCAUCACAGGACUUCUGAGGCAAGGUAGCUUUCAGGGUUUGGUUCAGUGGCUCAACAAAGAUAUUGUUGAGCCCUUUCUUUCUAUCUGCUCUGACCUCUUCGAUGCUGGCUUCAUCCCCAGGCUGGUGGCAUGAUGUUGCUGCAGGCCGUCCCUCAUGUCCCCCAGAGGUCAGAAUCCUGAGCCAAUGGCUGGCAAGGAGAGUGAGAUUAUACUAAAGACAAGGGCGGAGUCAGCUUUCCCUGUGACCACUGUAGCUGGGGAAGAAAGAUACAAGGGAAACCUUUGCUGUUUUUCAGUUACCCAGGUAAUUGUUUUCAGGUUCCUUUUUUUUUUUUGGUUGACAAGUUUCAGGGAAUUACAUUCACUUUCUAUGAUGAAAUGGUAACAAACCAAUUAGUGAAAUUGGUGAGCAGGUAAGGGGAGAACCCUACAACAGACAUUUCAAGAGGAAAAGAAGGAGC
ensembl:lincRNA